ACUAUCAUUCCAACCUCCCACUGAUGUGUUAGAUCCCUGAACCCCUACCUGCUGUUCUUUACAAUGUGUUUAUAAUGUGUACAUUUUUAGCUUAGCGGCUGGUAAGACCAAAUACACUAUAUUAUUACUAUUAACACACACACACUUGACCAGUAAGCCCAGGCCACAACAGCCAGCCCAGCACAGUCACCAAAAAGAUCAGACCUUUCACAGGACCCACCAACCACAUGAAGCCUGGGGUGGAAAGUGAAUAACAGAUCAUGCCGUCACAGUCCCCAUUUGUUCCAACAGAUGAAUAUUUUCUGUCUCUGUGCUACACACAGCCCUGUAACACCACCACAACAAACACUUGCACUCACACACACAGCAGAACUGAAUCAGCACAGCACCUCAGGAGAAGUGGACCUUCAUGUGCCUGACAAUCUCACCCUUAGUCAUGAAACGUUUCCCACAAACAUCGCACUUGAACCCUUUAUGACCAGAGUGUCUGAAGACGUGCAUGUCCAAUAUACUCUUCAGUUUGAAUCUUUUCCCACAAACUUCACACUCGUGACUUCUUGCAUCAGUGUGUGUAACAAGGUGUAAUUUGAGGGUACCCUUCUGACUGAAACAUUUCCCACAAACUUCACACUCAUGAUUUCUUUCACCAGUGUGUGUAAGAGUGUGUAAUUUGAGGGUACCCUUCUGACUGAAACAUUUCCCACAAACUUCACACUCAUGAUUUCUUGCACUGGUGUGUGUAAGGGUGUGUGUGUUGAGGGUACCCUUCUGACUGAAACAUUUCCCACAAACUUCACACUCAUGAUUUCUUGCACUGGUGUGUGUAAGGGUGUGUGUGUUGAGGGUACCCUUCUGACUGAAACAUUUCCCACAAACUUCACACUCAUGGUUUCUUGCACCAGUGUGUGUAAGGGUGUGAUGUUUGGGGUUACUCCUAUUACUAAACCUUUUGCCACACUCCCGACUUUCAUGAGGUCUUACACCAGAGUGUGUGGGUGUAUUUGUUGAGGUCAUCCUUCCCUGCAUGUCUUUUCUCACACUCUUGGCUUUGGUCAGUAAACUUGCUCUCAUUCUCAGAUCUUCUCACACUUCUGAAAUUCAAACUUCCCCCUUUGUGGAUGAAGAGGCCAGCAGUUGUUGUUGUUGUUGUUGGUUGUGUUGGUGGUGUUUUUUAUCACUCCUGAACCUCACACCAGUAGCAGUCUGCUCCUGCUGAUCCCAGCCACUCCAGCUGCUGUCCUGCCUUGCAGCCUCCACUGCAACACUACUCUGGAUGUGAGGAGUUGGCUGGCCUUGAGGAACCUCAGAGAUGCUGGAGAAGGCGGCGAGGUUGCUUCAAAGCCACACUCAGUGACCAAUUGAGCAGGCAAGGCGAGGGAUGCACCAAGGAGUCCUGAAGUCAGCGGCAGCAGGGACGGAACAAGUACUGACCACAGCAACUGUCUCGAUGCCUCACUUCAACACUAACACCAGUGGUGGACAUUGGGACACAAAGUCAUGUGCUGAAAAAAAAAAAAAAAGACUGGUAAGGAAACUGAAGUUGGUGGGAGGGAUCAGGGCGGUGGUGGGUGCACCGAAGGCAAGCCACAGGCCACCGGGUCAGGCAAAUAGUGCGUGUACUGAUAAUAAACUAAUGCAAUAAUAUAUUCAUUGAUAAAUAUGUCUUUUGAACUAACCUAAAUAAAUCUGAAGCGAUAUUCGUAACAAUACUAAGUCAGAACUACACGUAAAUGGACAAUAUCCAGCGACCAAAGCUGCAAGCUUGAUAGUUUUAAGGCCUGUUAACACAUUAAUAGUGUAACAUACCCGCCAGCAUACCAACACCGUGGACGCCAGUUAAAAGCCAGCUGGGAAAAUUGGGAAUACCCCCUUGUACUUGGCCAUGGUUAUUUACCGGAUCCAGUUUCUCCUCAGCCAAAACAAUACCCGUAGCGGUUAAUAUGUUAUAAGUAGGUAAGGGAAGAGAACGAGAAAUACGAACCACAGCUUGAGUUGGCACCCCUGAUAUAAAUCCACUCUAACCAUAUAUUUUUAUAUAUUUAUACGUUACGUCUUAGAAAAUAAGGGAAAAUUAAGUUUAGAAUCAACACACAAAAAGACAACCUCAGAAAGGCAGAGGAAGGAUAGAUUAAUGUACCAAGCUGAAAGGCGAGAAGGAAAAGUGUUAGAACCUGGGGAAGGCCACGUCAGAG